rnacentral:lncRNA from 1 species
GGGGGAGUGAAAGGAGUCAGCAGUGGGGUCUGCGCCAGGAGCGCUGAUGCUGAACUCUGGAAGGCCGCUGAAAGGGCCCGGGGAGGACAAGUCUUACGCAGCUGUCGGAGGCUGUGACCCCAGCGCUGCGCUCAAGGUGGAUUCGGCUGCAGCUGGGCUGCCCCUGCUUGUGUUGGGGAGGAGAUGCCUACGCCGGGCGUGCGGGGUGCGGAAAAGCCGCAGGUGCAGGGCCGCGUCCUCCGCAGGCGCUCCUUUCAACAUUUUUGGAACGUAUAGGAAAGCAUGUAGAACAAUUCAGCUUGAGCCUCACCAGGUCUUCCCAUGGUGCAGGCUCCACAUGCUCUGCCCUGGCCAGGUCUGCAGGGUAAUGGCUGCUCUGAGAAGGGUGGUACAGAGCUCUACGAAAGAUCCUUAGAGGAGUCUCUUGUCCAAUGGUGUAAAGCUCUGUGACAAACAUGGGAGACUCACAGACUCAUGAGGAUGUUAUACCAACAGAAACACUGCCAGCUUGGAAAGAAAAGACAGACGGAAUACAAAAUGAAAAAGGGCUGUUAGACAGCCCCCUCCACCAAAAUUCUACAGGCAAGAAAUGUGAUGAUAAAGCUACUCAGCUGUAAACAUGUGAUACACUUCAAGAAAAAGGAAGGAAGACUCCAAGGCCGGAGCCACUAGCUCAGAGGGGGGGUCUGAGCCUUGAGUCACAGAUAAUUAUUCUCAAGCCUUGAAACAAAAUGGAAUGUGCCUGGCUUGAUUUUGAAAUUGAUUGGGACUGGCAACUCCUUUUUCUUCCUCUUCUCUUUUUGAAUGGAAAUAUCUAUCACUGUUAUCCUACGCCUGUCUCACCUUUGUAUUUUGGGAGUAGAUAACUUGUUUCUCGAAUUUCCCAGGUUCACUGUUAUCCCAUGCCGAUCUCACCUUUGUAUUUUGGGAGUAGAUAACUUGUUUCUUGAAUUUCCCAGGUUCACAGAUGAAGAAGAAUUGUGCCUGAGGAUGGAUAACUUCCAGAGCCUUGGAUGAUGCAAUUUGGCACUUUUGAGCUAAUCUAAAAGUUAGAUGAGAUUUUGGACUUUGAGUUGUUACUUUAAUGGGUUGAUAAGCCUGGGAAUCUUGGGGUGGAAUGUACUUUGCAUAUGGAAUAGAUGUGUAUCUUUGGGUGCCAGAAGGCAGUCUGUGGUAGGCAGAUUAAUGCCUCCCACAAAAAUGUCUACCUCUAAUCCUAGACCCAUGAAUAUGUUAUGCUAAUGGCAAAGGUUGCAAAUAGAAUUAAGGUGUUAAUUAGUUGACUCUAAGAUGGGGAGGUCAUCUUGGAUUCUGUAGUGUAAUCACAAACAUCCAACAUCUUCACAAGGGUUCUUAUAAGUGAAAGGUGAAGGCAGUAGAGAGAAAGUAAGAGAUGGAAGAAUGAGCAGGACUCAACCCGAUGUGGCUGGCUUGGAGAUGGAGGAAGGGGCCACUAGCCAAGGAGUGUGAGCAGCCUCUAAAGCUGGAAAUGACAAAGACAUGGAUUCCCUGCUAGAGUUCCAAAGGGAAUACAGCCCUGGAGACCUUGAGUUUUGCCCAGUGAGACCAGUUUGAGACCUCUGACCUCCACAACUCUAAGAUAAUAAAUGUGUAGUUA